UUUUUUUCCUUUUAUUCUUCAUCUCUUUCGUUGUUACUCUUCCAUUUUGAUUCUCCUGUAUGAUUGAAGGAUGUUAGAAUCUAUACCCCUAACUCUUUGCCGUCUUCAACAUUAUCGAUUUCACCGGUACACAUUCAUUAUCGAUUUAUCAAACAUUUGCCUCAUCUUGACUGUCGUAUGACAAACCCUACCAUUGUCAUUAUCAUAUUUGGCGAUUUCAUCCACGUUUGACCUGGAUGUUGCUCGUGAUCUAACACCGUCGAAUCAACUGACAACUAUAACCAAUGGCGGAGCACGGUGGUUUUCUGAUUCAUGGAUCUGAAGAUAUGUCUAUGAAUCGGUUGGUUGGAUGAUUCUCAUGGAAGCACUUUUGUGCAAUCGGUUGUGACAAUCGCAAACAUUUUCGCCAUGAUUUUUGUGACUUUAGCCUGUGGAUAUCUAGGAUUCAAGAGCGGAUAGCCUGGCUAUAAACUUUCUACGGGAUACUUCCCGUAUGGAGUAGACGGGAUGCUUGCGGGUGCUUCGACAGUCUUCUUUUCAUAUAUAGAGUUUGAUUCAGUUGCCAGUACAGCAGAAGAGGUGAAAAAUCCUCAAAGGGAUUUACCUCUAUGAAGUGGGGCUGCAUUAUCUAUUUGCUACAUGUUAUACAUGUUAGUCUCCGCGGUUAUUGUUGGUUUAGUACCUUAUUAUGCAAUGGAUCCCGACACCCCUAUUUCUUCUGCAUUUGCUAGCCUUGGUAUUCAAUGGGCCACGGAUCUUGAUGGCUAUAGCUCGAGACGGUUUAUAGACGCAUGGCUGCACAUUUCUCAGCUCAGUCGACUACUCUACCCUACUUACAGAACAAAACAAAAGGAAUCUGGUGAGAAGGCGUGACCUAAGGUUAUGACGAGACUUCGGUUAACUCCGGCAAGAAAUCUGAAUUCCGGUGAAGCUUCGGUGACUUCUCCGGUUAUCGAUCUGAGUCUGCGUGUCAUAAAAUCUUAAAGAUCGGGGUAAUUUCGUCGUUAUGGGGUGGGAUAGUUUCUUAUCUUUCGUGUUUUCUGCCUGGGUUUCGACUAAACUGUGCUGCAGUCGAAGCCUCAAUGGGGGCUCAAUCUUGGAAUGAAUUUUGAAGUGGCCAGAUCAAAGUCUGCAAUUAUUCAAGCAUUCCCAUUCAGCUCAGAGAAAAAGCGAGGUGGUGUUGCCGUAAGACGGACUGAUUCUGAAGUUCAUGUUCACUGGAAAGGAGCUGUCGAAAUCAUGUUAGCUGCAUGUACAAGAUACAUGGACAGUAAUGAACAGCUUGUACCCCUAGAUGAAGGAACAGUAGGGUAUUUUAAAAAGGCGAUUGAAGAUAUGGCUCGUGGAAGUUUGCGGUGUGUUGCUAUUGCCUACCGACCACUGACCGCAAACACUGUGCCUACAUAUGAAGAAGAACUAACAUACUGGGAAUUGCCGGAAGUUGAUCUUGUUUUGCUAGCAAUAAUUGCUAGCACUUGAUCAAUGUGAGAUUGGAUUGAACAAAUUAGGUGUUGUUAGAGUUAAUGCUGAAGACAUUGCUCUUGCAGCUCAGGAAACUUUUAAUUUACAAACACACAAACGUAUCCAGUAAAAAGGUUGUAGCUUCUGAAGGCAUACGAGAGACCGGAGUAGUUGCAAGUUCUAGAGCUGUAGAAAUAUAUAGACUUGAUAUUCUAGCUCAAACGAUCCAGGUUUCACCUAAAUAUCAUCUUUCACAUAUGAAAGGGUUAUAUUAUAAGAUCACAUUCCCAUCAGUUUUUGAUCAUAUAUCUUCCCAUUUUUAUUUAAGUUAUUACCGUGUGCUACAAGUAACAUAUUACUAGAGAUGGCAAAAUGGGUGGGUCGGAUAGAUUGCAUAAUGGGUCAAAAUAAGGCACAAAACCCAUAAGACGAUAUUGUCUUUACAUUAGAAGAAGGGUCGGGUGUUGUUUAAACCAUUGCCGUGUUCGCUCUAAGGGAGAUCAACUUAUCAAAGAUCGAUAGCCGGCCGCAAAGGAAACGUCCGCUCAGGAUUGUUGAUGGCAGCAACAAGGGUAGCGCCUAGUGAGUGCAACUAUAGCCAGGUGGAAAUUUAAGAAUUUGAAAGUUCUUUUUUCUAACUCAUUUUUGACUUCCACGGAUACUUUGACUACCUAUUUUACAUUGACUUUGAAGCUUCGAUCGCGGAGCCUCGUGCCCAAUAUUAUCUAGGACAUCUACAGUUUGUUUUUUCAGUCAUGGAUUGCAACUCUAUGAAGAGAAAUUGCAGGAGAAGAACGAUUGGAGCAAUUCAUUGGAUAAAGUGUUCUACUCAAUGUGCAUUGAACUGACUAAAGAUUGUCCAGCUCCUUCAUAUCAACGUUUUCAUAUUACAGCCAAAUUGAAGGUUCACAGUUGUUGUAAUAAGAGUGAAAAUGACAUUUCAGCAAGGAACUUUGUUGUGAAAAGAUUGUUCAGCUCCUUAGUUUUGCUUUAUUUAUGGAUGCCAUUUACUUAUAUUUGCUGUUCAGCUCCUUAGUUUUGCUUUAUUUAGCAGGUACACCCAUCCUUUAAUUAAAUAACUAAACUUGCAAUAGUUGGUUUAAAGGUAUGUAUAUGUAACCAUUUGAUGCUUGUGCCCCUUGAUCAUUUUUUUAAAAAUAAGCUAAAAAAAGUGCGGGCUUAGCCCACCAAAGACGUUUGACCUGUGUUUAAAAGGACCCUUCUUAACUUGAACCCGUUUUGACCCGUUAUCUAACCAUCUCUGUUUAAGUUCCUUCUUUAUUAAAGUUUUUGCUCGCUUUGUCCAUUGUCUCUUACUCAGUGUGGUUUGGUGAGGGAACAACCAUGGUGGGAGACAAGCCGCCACGGACAGUCACAACGACCAUCAUGGGAGCGAGAAUAACAAGAAUGGGUUCAAUAUCAUCCUCGCCAAUAUGGUAAUCUUCUUUUUUUUGCAACUCUUUUUAGAAAUAGACCAAUAUGUUAAUCUAUGUUAAAGGUAUUGUAGAUGGUAAGUGUUGAUGGAAAGUUGGUGGUAUGUUCACGCUCCAUAUUGUCGACUCCGCGGCAACGCGCGGGUUUCCCACUAUAUAUUAAUACAACUUAAGGUGCUAACACUACUUUGGGGGAUAAAUUAUCUAUUAACUUCUCAUAAAAUAUAUUGUUGAAGGGUUGUUGAAGAACGAGGUUGCAAUACUAGAAUAUAUACAUCUGUGUUAGUUGAAACUAUGGACCGUCAUUUUGGCAGUGUGGUCAAAUAAAAAAAAACAACUAAAAGGAAAAACAGGUCAAAUGGGUUGACAUGUAACAUAUUAGCGGAACCACCGCUUUUCUUUUCAUUCUAUUGGAUGUUUUGUUUCAACCUGAUGAAGUAGAAAGGCCUAAAGUCGUUUUGGACAUCUUCAUGGGACCCUCAAAAACCAAUGUCCUCCGGUGGAGAAACCAAUCAAGACAAGCUUGAAGCCAUAGAGAUAAGCUUCAAGAACUUCUGUCGACGAUAGGUAACUCCGACUCAAGGUUACCGAUUACAAAAUCCUGCUCAUAAACAGUGAUGCGGUGAGAAUAUCUGGUGGAAAUGCACAUUUAUCCACGGAUCAGGAGCGGGUGCUGUUGUCGGUGCUGUUAGAAGGGUUGCUGGAGCUGAUUUUAGGAAUGCAAAGCUGAGAGAAGUCAUUCAUUCCUCAUGGUGAUCAAAAGAGAGACAAGUAAUUUUUUUUGUUAGAGGUUGUCUUGCAUUUAUACGGUGGAAAUAAAAGCCACAUGAGCCAGUAGGAGAGUUUUUCAGCUUCUUGAUUGUGUUUUUUUAAUGCUAGAAGCAUAAAAGAAAUGUCCUUUGGGGUUAGUUUUGUAAUUUAUGAUGUCAUUAGUCUUAUACUCAAAAGGAAGAGUAGGCUAUUUAAGCUACUUUUCUUAUAAUAUUUAUUAGAAGGUAACACUUACAAUAAAAAUUAAGGGAAGAAUGAGGGCAUUAUUAUCAUGUA